UGAAGACUGAAAUGUAAACAACGAAGACCUCGACGGAUUUUGAUGUGAUUGGCGAUGGUUUGCUGCCGAUUACACAACUAAUGUGGUCAAAACUUGUCUGCGUGAUGAUUACUAUGGACUGGCAGAGUGACUGUCCUCGAUAUGUUGUGUAAAACGGUGAACCGAUACGUUUCCGUAUGAAGAUUAGUUUUGAUUGUACAAGAUAGAGGAGUUCCCCUUUUGUAAAGAGGAAGCCGUACCUGGUGAUUUAACCGCUAAACUUCGACUCAAAGGAUGCGAUACUAUCAAUUCAAUUAGUAAGAAAAAGAACUUACAACUGAGUGUUAUACCCG